UACGUAGGGGGCAAGCGUUGUCCGGAUUUAUUGGGCGUAAAGAGCGUGUAGGCGGCCAUACAGGUCAGCUGUGAAAACUCGAGGCUCAACCUCGAGACGUCGGUUGAAACCGUUUGGCUAGAGUCCGGAAGAGGAGAGUGGAAUUCCCGGCGUAGCGGUGAAAUGCGCAGAUAUCGGGAAGAACACCAGUGGCGAAGGCGUCUUCUUGGCCUGUUCUUGACGCUGAGGCGCGAAAGCUGGGGGAGCAAACGGG
rnacentral:rRNA from 1 species